UUGCUGCUGUUAGGGUUUCCUUGCUAGGGUUUCUCUCCGUCCGUUUCUGUCUGUCGUUUGUGAAUGAAGCUCUACUAUUUAUAAUAAUUUUUGUGACCUAAUGGGCUCAGAAUGAAGCCCAAAAUUUCUGGUAUUCGCAAGCUUCUCUAGGCGAGUGGUGCAGCGAAGGGUUCACUAGGCGAAGGAUUUUGCUCGCCUAGCGAGCAAGCCAUUUUGAGUCAUUUUCUGGAUUUGGCCACUUGUGUGCUGGGUCUUUGUUCCUUUAAGAUCAAUGCCUUGAAAAAUGAGUUGGAGUGCCUUGAAAAAUGUCUUGCAAGAUUAACGGGCAAAUUUUGGGGUAUGACAGUUGCCCCUGUUCAAUAUUUUUGAACCGAGAGAGUUAGAAUGGUAUGUACGCCAUUCGUGGUCUGGAGGUG
rnacentral:lncRNA from 1 species